UUUUCCCAAUUUUCCCCAUUCUCUCUCUCUCUCUCUCGAUAUUUCACAUGUUAGGCCGCCUAUUUCCCCAAUUCCCCCUUAUCUCUCACUCUCUCUCGAUAUUUCACAUGUUAGGUCGCUGUUCUUCGUUCUCUCGUCCACUCCUUCUGUGCUGCUGUAAAUCACUAAUCACUCCUCAACUCUCUCUCUUUCUUCUCACUAACCACUCCUCCUGUGCGACGGAAGCCUAUCAAAAACGUUUUGAGGAAUGACGUCAACGUCAACCCGAUUCCGAGGAUGGUAGCUCAACCCAAGUGUCACUCAAUGAUGUAGCUUCAAUAUGGACGCAGGUGGUUGGUGGCGCAAAGAAAGGUAGAACCUACGGUUUUGGAUCACAAUAUUCCGUAGGUCGUUCUACGAUAUUGUUGUCUGGUGAUGCGAGUUAUUCGCAGAAUCACGAAGAGGUGGAAGCAUUACGAAAAGAAAUUGAAGAGUUGAAGGAGGAACGGAAAGAAGAUCGCGCAAAUUUUAACAAAUUGCGGAGUUUAGUGGAGAAAUUUAUGAGCAAACGUCCAUUUGAUCCUUUGAAUGACGAGGAUGACAGGGAUGAUGAGUUUUAGUUUGUUGUGGUUGUGAUGUUUGAGACAUUAUUAUUUGUUGUGAUUGGAUGUUUAGACUUAGUAAGGUUUACAUUUGACUAUGAUUGUAAUGUUUUAGACUAGAUUGAAUGAUGUUUGAAUGUUUAACUUGUGUUUGGAUGUUUUAGUUACAAAUAUUUAUGUUUUAUAUAAUUGUUUGUAUUUUAUGGA